rnacentral:lncRNA from 1 species
AAGAAAGUCAAUGACAUGAUCUUUGCCCUCAAAGAGUUCCCAUUAUAAUUGACUUUCGUGAAACCAAGUAUGUGUUAAGAUCAAUGUGGGAGAGUUUCUACCAGAUGUGAUCAUAGAGAUAAAUGUGUUCACUGAUCUACUGAGUCACAGCAUCAUCACAGAGAAUACAUCAGCCUGGAAGAGCCAACUUGCUGUGUUACAGUGUAUGAGCUGUGCUGACAAAGCCUGGAGAAUAACACUGACUGAAGAAAAAGAAUCCUCCUCCAUCUCCUUCGCUCCCCUACUUCAACCUGGCAGGAGCAAAACUCUCAGGGAUCAUCGUACAGCAUGGCCUUCCACACAAGCUGUUUUUCGAUAUCACAGGGAGGAGUGAAGAGGUAAUGGUGAAGAAAUCUCCCAAUUGGAGCCUCUUUAGAACUUCCCUGAAUGGUA